rnacentral:rRNA from 1 species
UACAGAGACUGCAAGCGUUAUUCGGAUUCACUGGGCGUAAAGGGUGCGCAGGCGGCCGUGUGGGUGAGGCGUGAAAGCCCGGGGCUUAACCCCGGAAUUGCACCUCAAACUACACGGCUAGAGCAUUGGAGAGGGUAGCAGAAUUCACGGUGUAGCAGUGAAAUGCGUAGAUAUCGUGAGGAAUACCAGAGGCGAAGGCGGCUACCUGGACAAUUGCUGACGCUCAGGCACGAAAGCGUGGGGAGCAAAAGGG